rnacentral:rRNA from 1 species
AACAAACGCUGGCGGCGUGCCUAACACAUGCAAGUCGUACGAGAAAGUCGGCUUCGGCCGAUGAGUACAGUGGCGCACGGGUGAGUAACGCGUGGGUAAUCUGCCCCCCGGUCAGGAAUAACCCGCCGAAAGGCGGGCUAAUACCCGAUAACACUGACGCUCUGCGGAGUGUCUUUCAAAGAAGGCCUCUGUUUACAAGCUUUCGCCGGAGGAUGAGCCCGCGUACCAUUAGCUAGUUGGCAGGGUAAUGGCCUACCAAGGCAACGAUGGUUAGCUGGUCUGAGAGGAUGGCCAGCCACACUGGAACUGAGACACGGUCCAGACUCCUACGGGAGGCAGCAGUGAGGAAUCUUGCGCAAUGGGGGAAACCCUGACGCAGCAACGCCGCGUGAGUGAAGAAGGCCUUCGGGUCGUAAAGCUCUGUCAGAUGGGAAGAAAUGGAUGGGGGCUAAUAUCGUCCAUCCUUGACGGUACCAUCAGAGGAAGCACCGGCUAACUCCGUGCCAGCCGCCGCGGUAAUAC